rnacentral:rRNA from 1 species
UACGGGGGGGGCAAGCGUUGUUCGGAAUUACUGGGCGUAAAGGGCUCGUAGGCGGCCAACUAAGUCCGACGUGAAAUCCCCAGGCUUAACCUGGGAACUGCGUCGGAUACUGGUUGGCUUGAAUCCGGGAGAGGGGUGCGGAAUUCCAGGUGUAGCGGUGAAAUGCGUAGAUAUCUGGAGGAACACCGGUGGCGAAGGCGGCAUCCUGGACCGGUAUUGACGCUGAACAGCGAAAGCCAGGGGAGCAAACGGG